AGUUUGAUCAUGGCUCAGACAACGCUGGCGGCAGGCUUAACACAUGCAAGUCGAACGGUUGUAGCAAUACAGCAGUGGCGCACGGGUGAGUAACGCGUGGAUAUCUGCCUUUUGGUUCGGAAUAACUCCGGGAAACUGGAGCUAAUACCGGAUGGUUCCUGCGGGAUAAAGAUUUAUCGCCAAAAGAUGAGUCCGCGUACGAUUAGCUAGUUGGUGAGGUAAUGGCUCACCAAGGCGACGAUCGUUAGCUGGUCUGAGAGGACGAUCAGCCACACUGGGACUGAGACACGGCCCAGACUCCUACGGGAGGCAGCAGGUGGGGAAUAUUGGACAAUGGGGGCAACCCUGAUCCAGCCAUGCCGCGUGAGUGAUGAAGGCCUUCGGGUUGUAAAGCUCUUUGGCGGGGACGAUGAUGACGGUACCCGCAGAAUAAGCCCCGGCUAACUUCGUG
rnacentral:rRNA from 1 species